GAAAGAGUCAGAGAAAAGGAAAAGAACAACUUUGAGCGGUGGAUCACUCGGCUCGUGCGUCGAUGAAG
rnacentral:rRNA from 1 species